rnacentral:lncRNA from 1 species
UUUGCUUCAUGAUUUUUCUUCAGUGUUAUAUGCUCCUGCAUAGAGAUAUGGCAAAACCUUUUCUGUCUGAUGAACUUCUCAGCUGAAUGUCCUUCAAUAUUUCAAAAUUCUAACCACCUUUGCUGGAGAAAUAGUGAGGGUGAAGCAGACUUCUGAUCUCGCUUUGACUCAGCCAAAAUAUUUCCCUGGUCUUCAGCAAUCACCUCCUGCAGUCAGAGAACAGAAAAACACAUCUGAGAAUCACUACAAAAACAGUAAAAUAAUUUGCUAAUGUAAAAUCAUUUCUGCCAGCAGAGAGACUUGAACUAGGACAACUUUGAUCUUAGAAUAAAUUAUGUCUCAGAUUGCUUAGAUCUUUUGCA